rnacentral:rRNA from 1 species
UGAGCGAACCUGUACUAGUGAACCCUGAGGCUUAACCUUACAACGCCGAAG